rnacentral:rRNA from 1 species
GACGAACGCUGGCGGCGUGCUUAACACAUGCAAGUCGAACGGAAAGGCCCUGCUUUUGUGGGGUGCUCGAGUGGCGAACGGGUGAGUAACACGUGAGUAACCUGCCCUUGACUUUGGGAUAACUUCAGGAAACUGGGGCUAAUACCGGAUAGGAGCUCCUGCUGCAUGGUGGGGGUUGGAAAGUUUCGGCGGUUGGGGAUGGACUCGCGGCUUAUCAGCUUGUUGGUGGGGUAGUGGCUUACCAAGGCUUUGACGGGUAGCCGGCCUGAGAGGGUGACCGGCCACAUUGGGACUGAGAUACGGCCCAGACUCCUACGGGAGGCAGCAGUGGGGAAUAUUGCACAAUGGGCGGAAGCCUGAUACAGCAACGCCGCGUGCGGGAUGACGGCCUUCGGGUUGUAAACCGCUUUCGCCUGUGACGAAGCGUGAGCGACGGUAAUGGGUAAAGAAGCACCGGCUAACUACGUG